AGUAAUAAUUAUUCCUUUAGUCCCUGAAUCUGUAACUCAGGGAACUGAAACAGAGAAAUCUACGGUGAAUUGGGGGAUGAGACACAACGGAGUGAUGGAGAAACCUUGGAAUUACUGAAAAAACACAUAAUUUUAUAGAAAUCACGCGUGACCUUGCUCCAUGGCACCUAGUAGGAGAAAGGCUAAGGAGCUCUCUAAAGGAGUGGAGUCCCUUGUAAAUCAUAUAGGGAAGAGAAACCCCAUGAAAACACCAGAAACCCCAUAUAAAUCACAGGGUCUUGAGCCUCUGGAUGUCACUUUGCUGUCAGGGACUCCAUGUGCAGCUUAAUUAGACAGGGAGAGGAGCUUUCCCGUUCUCCUGCCCGCACAGUGCGGCUCCGGCGGUUUCCCUUGCUCUGGCGCCUCCCAUUAUCACAGCUGAGGAGAGCAUUUCAACAGAAAUCAGUGUCUUUGUUUAAAAUGUGUAUUUAGGGGCCUUUGUUUGAAAGCCAUGCUUAGGAAAUGCUAAAAAGAGGAUUCAACACGCAUAUUCCACCUGAUCCUAGGAGCUGAAGAUAAUUUUUUGCUAAGCCCGGGGGCGAUAUUCGUCUCUGUUUCAACUGCUUCACAUCUCAUACAAGCACUGAGUUGGCAGAGUAAAGCGAACAGGAGGUGCCCGCAGCAGGAACGGAGCAUUCCAGCAGGUGAUCUUCCAAACGCAGGCGGUGAAGGACCUGCAGACCUGCUAAUGAAGCUGCUGAUGGCCCACGUUGAGACCACGGUAAUCACAGUCCAUGGACCCGUGACUCACUGAGCACCUAGUGGGAUUUGAAAGCACUUGGCGUCUUCCCCAUCAGACCCUCUGUGCCUCACGAGCAGCGACCUGCCCUUGUUUGGUUAGAGACUGGUCGGGUCUCCGUACAGCCAAUACCCCUCCAGCCCUCACAAGAAUACACUGAUCCUCCCCAAGCAAGCAACAGACAACAGCUGAGAAUGAGGAUACAGCUUUCGUUACAGAACCAGCAUUAUUUUUUAAAUGACUAAUAAAUGCA